rnacentral:rRNA from 2 species
AGGAUGAUCGCUGGCGGCGUGCCUAAUACAUGCAAGUCGAGCGAACAGAUAAGGAGCUUGCUCCUUUGACGUUAGCGGCGGACGGGUGAGUAACACGUGGGUAACCUACCUAUAAGACUGGGAUAACUUCGGGAAACCGGAGCUAAUACCGGAUAACAUUUGGAACCGCAUGGUUCUAAAGUGAAAGAUGGUUUUGCUAUCACUUAUAGAUGGACCCGCGCCGUAUUAGCUAGUUGGUAAGGUAACGGCUUACCAAGGCGACGAUACGUAGCCGACCUGAGAGGGUGAUCGGCCACACUGGAACUGAGACACGGUCCAGACUCCUACGGGAGGCAGCAGUAGGGAAUCUUCCGCAAUGGGCGAAAGCCUGACGGAGCAACGCCGCGUGAGUGAUGAAGGGUUUCGGCUCGUAAAACUCUGUUAUUAGGGAAGAACAAACGUGUAAGUAACUGUGCACGUCUUGACGGUACCUAAUCAGAAAGCCACGGCUAACUACGUGCCAGCAGCCGCGGUAAUACGUAGGUGGCAAGCGUUAUCCGGAAUUAUUGGGCGUAAAGCGCGCGUAGGCGGUUUCUUAAGUCUGAUGUGAAAGCCCACGGCUCAACCGUGGAGGGUCAUUGGAAACUGGGAAACUUGAGUGCAGAAGAGGAAAGUGGAAUUCCAUGUGUAGCGGUGAAAUGCGCAGAGAUAUGGAGGAACACCAGUGGCGAAGGCGACUUUCUGGUCUGUAACUGACGCUGAUGUGCGAAAGCGUGGGGAUCAAACAGGAUUAGAUACCCUGGUAGUCCACGCCGUAAACGAUGAGUGCUAAGUGUUAGGGGGUUUCCGCCCCUUAGUGCUGCAGCUAACGCAUAAGCACUCCGCCUGUGAGAGCCCACUUGCU